rnacentral:rRNA from 1 species
UACAGAGGGUGCAAGCGUUAAUCGGAAUUACUGGGCGUAAAGCGUGCGUAGACGGUUAUGUAAGUCAGGUGUGAAAGCCCCGGGCUCAACCUGGGAAUUGCAUUUGAGACUGCAUAGCUAGGGUGCGGAAGAGGGAAGCGGAAUUUCCGGUGUAGCGGUGAAAUGCGUAGAUAUCGGAAGGAACAUCAGUGGCGAAAGCGGCGCACUGGACCACAACUGACGCUGAGGCGCGAAAGCUAGGGGAGCAAACAGG